rnacentral:misc_RNA from 1 species
UCAAAACAGCGGCCUUCGGGCCUCGCUGCACCCUUGUCUUUUGCGCACCGUAUUGUUUCCUCGGCGGGCUUGCCUGCCGGUUGGACAUCAUAAAACCUUUUUGUAGUUGCAAUCAGAGUCAGAAAAACAAUAAUUAUUA